UGGCGAACGGGUGAGUAAUACAUCGGAACGUGCCCAGUAGUGGGGGAUAACCCGGCGAAAGCCGGACUAAUACCGCAUACGACCUACGGGUGAAAGCGGGGAUCGUAAGACCUUGCGCUAUCGGAGCGGCCGAUGUCAGAUUAGCUAGUUGGUGGGGUAAAAGCCUACCAAGGCGACGAUCUGUAGCUGGUCUGAGAGGACGACCAGCCACACUGGGACUGAGACACGGCCCAG
rnacentral:rRNA from 1 species